CCUGAGAGGAAAAUGGGGUGCUGGAGGCAGCAGCUGUCCUGUACCUGCUGCCUCCCCUCCAUCCUCCAACCCCAGCCAUCCUUGUCAGAAUGGAGCAGCUAAAGCUAGGGAAAAGCCCAACACCGACUUCUUUCAAGAGAAAAGUUCUCAACAGAAAAUGAUCUUUCUUUUAAAUUGAGAAAUUCCUUCAGUGGAGAUGUAAAACAUUAAGAAUCACCACAUUCCUUCCCUCAGCUGUUUUUACCAUGAAAUUGCAAUAAUAUAACUAAAUAAUUUCUGGAUAGGAACAUUUUAUAUUGAACUUUUAUUUCCAUCUCAGCAGCACCAUGAACUCAUCUCAAAGUGAAAGAUAUCAGAGAUCCUUUCUCUCUAUAAAGGAUGCUUUCAAUCCU